UCCAGCAGCCGCGGUAAUACGUUCCCGGGCCUUGUACACACCGCCCGUCACGCCAUGGAAGCUCGGAGCGCCCGAAGUCGGUGUCGGAACUCGCAAGAGACCAAGCCGCCGAAGGCGAGCCGGGUGACUGGGGCGAAGUCGUAACAAGGUAGCCGUAGGGGAACCUGCGGCUGGAUCACCUCCUUUCCGGAGAAACGAGUAGAGAUCACCUCGGUGAACUCGAAAGUUCUCAAGGAUUUGUCGCACGCCUCCACAUUCAAGAUCUCAACUCGGUUGUUCCGCUGUUUGACAACGGAUGGUAGGUGUAGAUCGUUGGGAAAGCGAAUCCAAAACGAGAAAUGACGUUUCGUAGUUACUCGUUAUGAGAAGUCGCGCGUGCUCUGCUUGGAUAUCUGAAGAGGUAGUCAAGCGAGCGAAGGCAUGUGGGGGAUACCUAGGCACACAGAGA
rnacentral:misc_RNA from 1 species